AAAAUAUUUAGGGCAAUACUUAAGCUGUAUAUUCUUAUUUCUUUUGAAUUCUGAAUAUACUAUGAGCUGGUCUACAAAACAUUUAUGCUGAUCUUUCUUUGUAUUCAGAGUUUUGUAAGCAACAUUAAUUGUAAGACAAUCAACAGUAAAAUUUUCCUUUUUUAUGUAUAGUAUUCUACUGAAGAUGCCAUGUACAAAUUACAUCCUGCUAAAACAGCUUAUCUCUGUGCUAUUAAAAUGAAAACCUCUAUGAGGAAUCACUUAGACACCCACACCUUAUCUGUCCGCGUAGCCCCUCAUGUGCUGUGGGAUCCAACUUGCUGAACUCAUGAUUUGGGAGUGACCUCCCAAAAUAGAUAUCUAUCAUACGUAUCAUGAUUGACAACUGUGUAGCUAUAUUUGGAUAGAAUAACAAUAUCAUUGUGACCAUAACCAAAAGAGGUCAGAUGACAUAAAGACAUCAGUAAAUACUGCUGCAGGGGAAAAUGAAACAACUUCAACAUAUAUCUUUUCACAAUGAAAAUUUCCUCCUGACUGAAGAAGUUGCUGGUCAUUUUAUUUCAAUGUUCCCUUCUACCUCCCUCUUAACCACAGCAGAAGAGAUUAUUACGAGAAACAACUUCAGUUUUAUAUUUAACUAUAUUGUUACAUAGUUUCACUCACUAUAUUUAUUUUAUGUUGUGUAUUACACAUUCUUAUCUAUUAAUAUUAAUAAAUGGUAUUAAAUUA